CCCAUGGGAUCGAUUAGCCUGCUAGUCGCACGGGGUUUAGACCCGUGGCAGAUAGCUCAGUGACACGUGGCCAAACUACCCUAUGGACAGGAAUAACCUCGGGAAACUGAGGCUAAUUCCUGAUACCGCUUCCCGCCUGGAAUGGGUUGAAGUGCCAAACGUUACGGGGCCUUAGGAUGUGGUUGCGGCCGAUUAGGUAAACGGGGAGGUAACGGCUCACCGUGCCCAUAAUCGGUACGGGUUGUGAAAGCAAGAGCCCGGAGACGGUAUCUGAGACAAGAUACCGGGCCCUACGGGGCGCAGCAGGCGCGAAAACUUUACACUGCACGACAGUGCGAUAAGGGAACUCCGAGGGCGAGGGCAUAUCGUCCUCGCUUUUCUGUACCGUAGGGAGGUACAAAAAUAGGGGCUGGGCAAGACCGGUGCCAGCCGCCGCGGUAACACCGGCAGCCCAAGGGAGGGCCGAUAUUAUUGGGCCUAAAGCGUCCGUAGCCAGCUGAACAGGUCCGUUGGGAAAUCUGCUCGCUCAACGAGCAGGCGUCCGGGGGAAACCAGUCAGUUGGGGACCGAAAGGACCGAAGGGUACGUCUGGGGGUAGGAGUGAAAUCCCGUAAUCCUGGACGGACCACCGAUGGCGAAAGCACUUCGGUAGAUCGGAUCCGACGGUGAGGGACGAAAGCUAGGGUCACGAACCGGAUUAGAUACCCGGGUAGUCCUAGCCGUAAACGAUGCUCGUUAGGUGUGGCACUGGACUACGAGCCUUGUGCCGUGCCGCAGCGAAGGCGAUAAACGAGCCGCCUGGGGAAGUACGUCCCGCAAGGAUGAAACUUAAAGGGAAUUGGGCGGGGGGAGCACUACAACCGGAGGGAGCCUGCGGGUUUAAUUGGACUCAACGCCGGACAUCUCACCAGCUCCGACAGUGUGCAGUGACGGUCAGUGUGAUGAGCUUACCUGAGCCACUGAGAGGAGGUGCAUGGCCGCCGUCAGCUCGUACCGUGAGGCGUCCUGUUAAGUCAGGCAACGAGCGAGACCCGCACGCCUAAUUGCCAGCAACACCCUUGAGGUGGUUGGGUACAUUAGGUGGACUGCCGCUGCUAAAGCGGAGGAAGGAACGGGCAACGGUAGGUCAGUAUGCCCCGAAUGAGCUGGGCAACACGCGGGCUACAAUGGUCGAGACAAUGGGAAGCCACCCCGAGAGGGGGCGCUAAUCUCCGAAACUCGAUCGUAGUUCGGAUUGCGGACUGAAACUCGUCCGCAUGAAGCUGGAUUCGGUAGUAAUCGCGUUUCAGAAGAGCGCGGUGAAUACGUCCCUGCUCCUUGCACACACCGCCCGUCAAAGCACCCGAGUGGGGUCCGGAUGAGGCCACCUGACGGUGGUCGAAUCUGGGCUCCGCAAGGGGGCUAAGUCUAACAGCCCC
rnacentral:rRNA from 1 species